rnacentral:rRNA from 1 species
AUGGCUUCUGUAACAACGCAAAUGAGAGGUCCAACCUGCCCAGUGACCAAGAGUUAAACGGCCGCGGUAUCUUAACCGUGCUAAGGUAGCGUAAUCACUUGUCUUUUAAAUGAAGACCUGUAUGAAAGGCAUUACGAGGGCCCAACUGUCUCCUACUUCAUGUCAGUGAAAUUGAUCUGUCCGUGCAGAAGCGGACAUAUUUACAUAAGACGAGAAGACCCUGUGGAGCUUAAGAUAUAAAAUUAAUCGCGCCUAGAAGCUAACAAGCCCAAGGGUCCUAAACAUCAAACAAGCAUAGCGACCAUAAUUACACCUAUCUUCGGUUGGGGCGACCAUGGGGGAUAAAAAAGCCUCCAAGAAGAAGCAGGGAGUCGACUACACAACUCCUAAGAACCAAGAGCCACACCUCUAAGUAACAGAAAAUUCUGACUAAUAAUGACCCAGGCCAAGCCUGAUUAACGAACCAAGUUACCCCAGGGAUAACAGCGCAAUCCUUUCCCAGAGCCCAUAUCGCCGAAAGGGUUUACGACCUCGAUGUUGGAUCAGGACAUCCUGGUGGCGAAAAUUUUACCAAGGGUUCGUUUGUUCAACGAUAAAGUCCUACGUGA